GGGAAUAUUGCAAAAUGGGCGAAAGCCCGAUGCAGCAACGCCGCGUGGGCGCUGAAGGCCUUCGGGUCGUAAAGCCCUUUUUGAGGGGAUGAGGAAGGACAGUACCCUCAGAAUAAGCCUCGGCUAACUACGUGCCAGCAGCCGCGGUACAACGUAGGAGGCGAGCGUUAUCCGGAUUUACUGGGCGUAAAGCGCGUGCAGGCGGAUUGGAGAGUUGGAUGUGAAAGCUCCCGGCUUAACUGGGAGAGGUCGUUCAAUACUUCCAGUCUUGAGUGCAGUAGAGGGAAGUGGAAUUCCGGGUGUAGUGGUGAAAUGCGUAGAUAUCCGGAGGAACACCAGUGGCGAAAGCGGCUUCCUGGACUGUAACUGACGCUCAGACGCGAAAGCUAGGGUAGCAAAC
rnacentral:rRNA from 1 species